UGGAGAGUGUGCUGGGACCAAAAUAAGCAACUGUGAAGAACUUGGCAGCUUCUCAUUGGCUGUUUCAGAAGUGAGUAACGAGACACCGAGUUGAGAGCUACUUCUCUUGCAUGUUGAUACAAUGAAAAUUAUAAAAUGGGCAAGUUUUGCCCGUAAAAAUGAGAGAGGCUUGAUCAAGUCGUUUUGUAGAGAAGUGUGAUCUAUGAUAGACGCACUUUCGGUUUUGAACGAGUGAGUUUAUCAAGUGUCUAGCAAGCAGGAGUAAAAGAGUAAGGAACAAACAGCAGACAGAGAGAAGCCAAGUCAAAUCAGGUCCUCGCAACACCCGGCAGAGAAAACUGGAGUAACCCCAACCAAGAGAGCCAAAAGAGAACCUUGUCAAACCGGGAACAGAGGAACGUCCCGUCCAGCAGACGCUGACUGGGGGAAACCCCGUUGAAGUGGUAAGCUAAAAUUCUCCAUCCAAAGAAUCCUGGAUGGAGAGGGAGAGCUGUCCCCUAAGUUGUGUCCCAGUGGAAGAAGUAGUAAGAGAUAGGCAACAUUAUCAAGUUGAGCACUCAACAGUCGCCCAGCAGGAGUGGGCUGGAGCCCCAGCUGAGAGUCCCAAGCAGAGCGCCCACUCGAUUCUGUCUUUGGCUGAGCUUCCGGCUCUUCUGCCCCAUCGCUUCUGGCUCUUCUGCCCCAUCGCAGAAAAAGUUCUCUCUGAUGCCCAUUUUCUUGGAUUGCUAUCCACAAACACAUGGAGAUUCUAAACAGCUUGAGCGCCAUGAGCCCUUUUAGGGAAUUUGAUUAAGGCCACGUGUAAGGUCGAACGCACAGGACAGUGAAGAAGGACUGACAUUCAGUUCCACAGACGUCCAGAAAAUAAGACUGUGCUGUUUUAAAUAAAAAUAGCACCGUUCCAUCGCUAAUUUUAACCCAGAGAACAAGCUCCUUCCUUUAAAUAGGGCCCGUUGGAUGGAUUCCCGAUGCAGCACCAUGGUGGCUGUCCUCCACGAAGUUCACACCGGAGUUCACACCCGAGAACUGCAGAGCUGAGGUGCACGUGCUCGCACAUACAUACAAUGUUACCAGCAUACCUACAGCCAUGAGGCGGGCCAUCUGCAGCUCAUGGGUGGCGAAACCUAGCCUCAUGGACAAGACCUUGGGAAGUACACUUAUUUAAAGAGGAGUGUGCCAGUCAUGCAUAACUUUGCUGAGAGCGGACAGCGUGGGCCAACCAGUGUCUAAGGAGGAAAACACUUAAAAGACUGGAACACAGAAGCAGCGAGUCAGCGAGAUGAAGACAGAAGCUUGUAACUCACCAGUCCACCCGUGGCCAUGUUUUAGUAACCUAAGAGUGCUUUCUGUUAAUUUCAACUAUUCUUGUUGUUUCUGUAAUAUAUCUCUUUCCUGGUUAAAAUA